GAUUAACGCUAGCGGCAGGCCUAAUACAUGCAAGUCGUACGGUAACAGGUGUAGCAAUACAUGCUGACGAGUGGCGCACGGGUGCGUAACACGUAUGCAAUCUGCCUUUAACUGGGGAACAACCCCUCGAAAGAGGGGCUAAUACCGCAUAACACCACCGGACGGCAUCGCCUGGUGAGCAAACCUACGGGGGUUAAAGAUGAACAUGCGACUGAUUAGUUAGUUGGCGGGGUAACGGCCAACCAAGACAGCGAUCAGUAGGGGAUCUGAGAGGAUGAUCCCCCACACGGGUACUGAGACACGGACCCGACUCCUACGGGAGGCAGCAGUAAGGAAUAUUGGACAAUGGAGGCAACUCUGAUCCAGCCAUGCCGCGUGAAGGAUGAAUGCGCUAUGCGUUGUAAACUUCUUUUAUACGGGAAAAAUAUCCGCUAUUCUUAGCGGAUUGAUUGUACUGUAAGAAUAAGGGUCGGCUAACUUCGUGCCAGCCGCCGCUGUAACAC
rnacentral:rRNA from 1 species